rnacentral:lncRNA from 1 species
CUUUGAUUCAGAUACAUUGCUCACUUUCCUUUUGUUAUUCUAUUUCAUAACGUAGAGUCUUAGCCUCCGGCUCCCACAUCCUCAUGUAUAGAUUCAAUUUGGAUUUAAACAAUGGGUAGUAUUGGAGAAGACUUAAAAAGCAAGAUACAAAGAAGGGAAAAAUCAGCAUAUUUGUCUCUCACUUUCUGCCCUUAGCGGUGUCUGGCUCAAACAGUGGAUACACGUGUCUUCCAUGGUUCCAUAUACCAUCAGGAUAUUUUUGCUAUGACUCCAGCUGGCUCAUAAGCAGUGAGCCUGGCUAGAAGAAAAAAGAAAGCAGCUCCUUUGUUUCCCUGGUUGCAGAAGAAUCCCUGAGGAGGAACCAGAUGGAUCCUGUUACAGGAAAGCAGUUCAGGCUGUCCAAGAAAACUUCUAAUGGGAACACUUUCAAACUUAUUUUAUAAGGCCAGCAUUACUGUGAUAUUAAAACCAGACAAGGACACUACAGGAAAAGAACAUUACAGGCCAAUAUGCCUGAUUAACACAGAAGCAAAAAUUCUUAAUAAAAUACUAGCAAACAAAAUUCAUCCAAACAUUAAAAGGAUGAUUCACCAUAAUCAAGUGGGAUUUAUCCCUGCAAUGCAAGGAUGGUUCCAUAUACGCAAAUCUAUAAAUGUUAUGUUCCACAUUAACUGAAUGGACAAAAACCACAUGAUCAUUUCAAUACAUGCAAAAAAAGGCAUUUGACUAAAUUUUAUAUUCUUUCAUGAAAACUGCUAUCAAUAAAUUAGAUGUAAAAGUAAUGUACCUUAACACAAUAAAGGUUGUAUGUGACAAGACCAUAGCUAACAUCACACUUGACAGUGAGAAAUUGAAAACCUUUUCUCUAAGAUUGGGAAUAAGACAAUUCCUAGGUAUUUCAAAAUUUUUGUGACUAUUAUAAAUGGAUUGUGUUCUUGAUUUGAAUCUCAGCUUGAAUGUUAUUGAUGUAUAGAAAUGCUAUUGAUU